UAACGUUUUUUUUCUUAGGUUGUUCUGCUGC
rnacentral:piRNA from 1 species